AGGCCGCAACGGAAAAGAGUUGCUUUCAAUAAACAAAGGAUCAUGGAAAGAUCUCCCCUCAGAACCAACCAUCAAAUAAUUCAAAGAAAAACCAUCAAACGAUGCACGAGCACAUGGCCGGCACCCAUCACCUCCUGCCGCGACGUGUAGAUUUAUCGCUAGUUGAAGCGGUUUAGCGAGGCACAUUUCACUAGGCUAAUGCCACUGCCAGUGGCAGUGUCCUAUGCCGCGGACGGCGCAGAUCCGGUUCCUUCGCCGGCGAGGGCAGCGGCCGACGGCCCCGAUCGCACAUUGGCCUCCCGCCACCACCUCUGUCGCGUCGCGUCGGCGUCGCCCGCC
rnacentral:lncRNA from 1 species